rnacentral:lncRNA from 1 species
AAGCAAACAAGCUAUCACCAAGGAAUGAGCUUUGGGUCGUAGAGUCUCCUAAUGAUUAGGGUUCUGAUGCUUUCAAUUCAAGAGGGGCUGGUAAGUGAGCAUUAUGUAAGCAAUUAUCAAAUGACUCAUCAAAUCAGUGACAUCCUCAAAUGCCUGCCAAUUCCUAUGUUGGCAGCUGCUUUCCACCCAGACCUCAGGGAAGGAAACAGCCUGGGCCCCAGGCAGUGGCAAAGGAGUUCUAGGAUUCUGGGCCACUCACUACUCAAUUCCUUUUCCCUGUUCCAUUUUGCAAAUUUAUUUUGAGACCAUCUAUUUCAACUUUGUCAUUUUUUAGAAGGCUGCUGGGACCUGGAGGUUUAAAGGGCUCAUUUAGCAGUUUAAACCAGAUCUUGGCCUGUGUUGGAAGUCUUCCUGACUUUUCCCAGAUGCUCUCAAGUUACUGACAUCUCAUUUAAGAAUAAGGAAUGGCAUCAGUGCUAAAUGCCACUUGCUUCUUGUCUUACCUCAUAAUAUUUUCUUUAUCUAAAGGUA